AUGGUGACCUUUACUGUUGUUUCUGAGUAGCAACUUUGUUUAAUAAACUUUUGAAUAAAUGUGACUUUCAAAUGUACAUUUGCUGUUAAAAAAAGGCGAAAAUUGUUUCAAAAUUGAAAAACAGAGUGUGUAUCUCCUUUAAUUUUGUCGGUAACGACUUCUGGAUAUAACGACGAAAUUACAGUGGUCCCUUCGUUGUCGUUAUAUCCGAAAUCCACUGUAUUCCUAUUUUUUUCACAUUGUAUGACAACUCGUAGGAAAUGCAGUUUCCGCUGAAAUUAAAAACAGACCUUGACAUUUUAUUACCUACUACGAAUUGAUUUUAAAAAAUGUAACAUGGUUGGUAUUCUACGCAAAAGAUACUUAAUGUUUUAAUUUUUUAUAGUACCUAAAUUCGAAAUAAUAAUAAUUGUUUAUGGUGGGUUUGAUGAACAGAUUAUCUUAUUUCGAAAGAACUUCCUAAUGAUGGAGGGGGCAUUUAACAUUAUACAUACCAGUAAUUAUUAGACCGAACUAGUUGUUACAAACAUGUACCAGUGAACAAAAAGUUUAUAAUUUUUUAAUAAUAAUAUAAUUUUUGACAGAACUAUGUUGUAAAUUUAUAUUGACUAAUUAAUAGACAACGCAUUUAAGCUAAUGUACCUAGAGAUUUGAAAUUUGGACGAAGUAUAUCUCUAAUAGUUACUGUAAAGAAAUAUUAGUAUACGAUGAAGAAUAAGAAAAGAAAUGCUCGAUGGAGUCUGAUGAUGAUUACUGUUUUCUUAAUAGGAUCGGUAAAUGCUGCUGUUCUCCAUUAUGAUGGAUUGCAGCAACCGUAUAAUGACGUGGACAAAAUGGCAAUUUUGUCCUCUGAAAUGAAUACCUUUACAAAUUUAAGAAAACAAAAUCCCUGCCGAUACCAACAAAGUAGUAAUUUUGAUGGUGGAACUAAUAACCAAAUCGUUUCAGCGACAGGAAAUGAUGGAAAAGGUUACGGCAAAUAUUUAGCUGGUGGAGCAGCCGGUGGAGCUGCUGUAGGAGCUGCAGUUGGAAGUGUUGUUCCUGUUUUGGGAACAGCACUAGGAGCCUUAGGUGGUGCUAUCUUAGGAUCGGGUGUGGCGUAUUAUUGGAGCUAAAAGCUUUUUGUAAUAUUUACUUAGAUUUUUCAAUGUACUUUUCUUUACGACAUACCACAUUUUUGUAAUUAAAUAACAUAACACUUU
rnacentral:misc_RNA from 1 species